rnacentral:rRNA from 1 species
UACGUAGGCAGCGAGCGUUGUUCGGAGUUACUGGGCGUAAAGGGUGUGUAGGCGGUUGUUUAAGUUUGGUGUGAAAUCUCCCGGCUCAACCCGGGGGGGUGCGCCGAAUACUGAAUAACUAGAGUGCGGGGAGAGGAAAGUGGAAUUCCUGGUGUAGCGGUGAAAUGCGCAGAUAUCAGGAGGAACACCAAUAGCGAAGGCAGCUCGCUGGGACGUUACUGACACUGAGGCGCGAAAGCGUGGGGAGCGAACAGG